GUAAAUAGUUUAAGGCCACGAGGAUUCGUGAUGAACUCGGUGCCAUGAGUGACCUUAUGGCGAGCGUAGAAUUCCUCCGGAGUCAACGACCCAAAUGGGCUCUUCUCGUUAGCUUCCGCAACUGGGUGCAAGGACAUUAUCUUAGUUUCUUGCUUUCUUUUGAUGAUUAUUUUGUAGGGGACGGAGGUUUCUGGCCGUUGAGCGUGGGGCGUGGAGUAUUAUAUGCUAAGCCAACGCCCCCCGCCCCCUCUCUCUCUCUCAGUUGCUUGGAAACUCUGCUGCAAAUGCCCUUUUUUUCCUACUGAUGCAUGCUUAAACAUUAAGCAGUGUUUUGAAAACCGGAUCGGAUCGGCCGGUUGAACCGCAAAUCGGUCAUGGCACCGGUUCGAUUUUAUGUUAGUGUUGAUUUUGUCAGAAAAUCAGUCAAAUUCGAUCAAAAUCAUGAAAAUUGCUGAAUCGGAUCGGACCGGAUUGAACCGGUUUUCAAGUUUUCCCCCCCCCUCCUUUUUUUUUUAAAAGUUUUGCAAAAUGCUUCUAUCAAGACCUUUGCAAUACAAAACCAAUAUAGUAACCAUUGCACCAUCACAUCUUAUUUGUUUUUUUUUGAUAACUUAUAUAUAAAUAUAUAUAACAAACAUCCAUAUUUCUUUUUUCCAUUUUUCCUACAAAAUCUCAUUCUUUCAUGACUCUUUUUUUUUUUAAUCUUCAACACACACACACACACACACUCUCUCUCUCCCCUCUUUUUUUUGUCACUCUCUUUUUAAUCAAACCUCUUUAGUUUUUAUUUAUUGAUGUUUUCUUCCAUCUUUUUAAUUUUGUUUUUGUCCAUUAAAUUGAAAAAAGUUAAAAAAGAAUUAUUUUUCUUUAACCCAAAUUAUUUAAUGCUACAACCACUCAUUUUUUGUUUCUUAUCAAGUUUACAUUUCUAUUUUUGAUUCUCUUGACUUCUUCGAACUGCAAAUUUUUUUUUUAAAAUUGCAAUCUCUAAAUCCCAAAGACGUAAAUUAAAAUUUAAGUUCACAAUGUCAAAUUCUCAUAGACUUGAAUUUCGUAUAAUUUCAAGAUAUUGUGAUAUUUUUGGAUUGGAUUUAAGAUUAUUUUGGUAAAUAUAAUUGAAAUUGAAAUGAAAUUUAUUUGUUUUAACUUAUAAUUUAAAAAUUUUAUUUUUGAAAAUCCAAGUUAUUCAAAAAUAGUAAAUUUUUCAUCAUAUAAAGUUUUAAAUUAGUCUAUUGCAUGUCUUAUUUUGUGCAUAUAUAUAUAUUUAUAUAAAUUAUUUUUUUAAAAAUUCAUUGAACCGGGAUUGAACCGAUCCGACCGAUUAAAUCUCGAUCCUUUCACUUCAUCGAUUCAAUUGACGGUUCGGAUUUUAAAACAUUGACAUUAAGUGUAGAAUUGAGAAAACCAGAGCUGAUUUGAUAGCCAUUGUUGGAAGAAUUUUGAUGGGGACGGAAUCAUGCAAAAUGUCACCAUAAAAGUUGGCCCAGCAUCACAAGCUACCAAAAAGAGGAAGGCACUUUUUUUUGACGCGCAAAGGAGGAAAAUUCAGACUAAGAACAGGAAGGCACUUUUUUUUUUUAGAAUAAGAACAGGAAGGACGAAAAUUGAUGAGAAAAAUGCUUUUUUCAUCAUUUCAUAUCUCCCAUAAUUAUUGACGGGACUUCGCACCGUCCAUGUUUUGGAGCAAAGAUAAAGAUGCCCUGGUAAAUAGUAUACGACUUUAUGUGGGUGGACUGGAGUUGCCAUCUAAGUAGACCCUUGAGAACAUCUAAAAGUUGACAAGCCAGUGUCGCAGAGUUUUCUAAGAAAAAGGCAAUAAUUUCCAUACCCCAGUUUCACUCUUCAUCGAGCUUGAAUCUAAGCUUAGCUCCAUCGCCAGGGCCAAUUUGUCAUUUUCAAUAUUCUUGUAGGACUUUAGCACUUGACUUGGAAAAAUUUUUAAAAAGAAUUGUUGCAGUAUUAUUUCAAAAACUUUUAAUCAGUUAAAUUGAUAGGUCGCAAUUCUGUCAUUUAUUUUAUAAUUAAUUCCCUCAUAUUAUCUUAUCAAAUAUAUAUUAAUUGGUGAAUUCUAUUUACUUUUGGUAUUUGUACUGAUCACAAGGAAUUAGAGCAAAAUGUGGUAAAAAUGUGCAAAUUUUGCACUACAAAUGCUGUUUGGCGUGAUCGCGUCAACUCAGAUCUUAACGUGUUCAGAAGGUGCGGGAAAGAUGUGUGACACCAACUCUCAUUUGGAAGUUCAACGUGGUGCCCGGAAUAUUCCAUUAAUGAUUGUUUAAUUUGAGUUGACAAAGGUAGUUUAGUAAUAAUAGGAAACUUACUAAUUAGUAGUUUCCUUGUUUGUGGGCGGCGGCUCAAUAGGAAAGGAGUCAAAUUGGAAUUUAUGAUUCCCAGUUUUAUUGGUUAGUUUUUGGGAAGAGCCAGCCGCAGGAAAAUGGGGGAGGGAGGGCGGGGGUUUGCUAGUUUUCCUACUAUUCCAUGGUGUGCCGCAGAGGCAAUCAAAAAACUUUAGUCGGUCUUUUGACUUUGUAGUUUUUCCUUAUUCUUAUUCAUUCGGAUUUUUCAUCUGAAUUGAGGACGAUGCACUCAACAAUUAUUACUGCAAUUUUGCGUGGGAUUAUUCCAACAGAGAUGAACUAAAUCUUUUUUUCUAGUUAAGAAAUAACAGAAACUUUGGUUCAUCUAAAAAUUGUGAGAUUGAAUUAAUUUUAUUUAUUUCUUUUAUUUACUAGUAUUUACAUAUUCUCUGAUUGUAGUACUUAUGGUGGUUCUAUUAAUUGAGUAUUCAGGACUCGGACGUUGAAUUAAUUUAGCAAUCUAAUGUCAAUUGGAGCGUUAAAUCCGUAAUUGUUUAAUUGUUUCAAAAUAGUGACAAUUAGCGUGAUUGGAUUUGUAUCAGUGGAAUACGCGGGCUAAUCUAAAAUAACCCUGAUAGUGUGUUAUUUGGUUAGAAUAGGACUCUUCUAAUACGCAAGGCAACUGGGGAAUUAAAUAUUACGGUCGUACCUAGAAUUAUUUCUCGAUUAAAGUAGUGAUUCAUGGUCGUACCUUAAUCACCGACAUAGUAAGGAGGAGUUGACUGUCAUUGCUUGUUUAGCAGUUAUAACUUAUUUAUUAGUCAAUAAUUAGAAUUACCUUUGCAUCGAUGAUCAAUUAGGUGAACCAUUGCUGAAAUUAUUUCUUGGCUAGAGCUUAGUUAUUAAUUUGGUUUUAAUAAUUUGCCGUUUAAUUUUUAGUUGGUUAUUUGUUUUUAUUUGCAUCGUUUAAUUAUUAUCAUUUAUAUACGAAGACACCCCCUUGUCAGUUUGAAUUUCAAAAGAGACAAUUAUCCUUAGUUCCUGUGAAUUCGACCCUACUUAUCACUAUCUACAGAUAUUAUACUAUGUUUGAGUAGGUUUUUAUUAUUGCACGGCUCGACAACCUAUCAAUUUUUUAAGUUAAACUGAUUAAUUAGUUAUUUAAUCAGUUAUUUAACUGAUUAAUUAAUUAUUUAAUUUAUAUUGUUCCCAUAUGUAUGUUGCCGACGACGGUAUAGACUUUGUCAAAGAAAACGAACUCCACAACAUUGUGACACGUCGCACAAAAUCACCAGCCAUGAAACCACAUUUAGCAAUCAAGCAGCUCCUUCAGCUAACUCUUUCUUGAUCAAUUUUAACAUGUCCAAAACCUGCAUAGUGCAGUCAUUUAGACGACAGACGCUAAGUAAAACUUGCAGGAGACAAAAAAGAGGCAAAAGAAAGCAGUGCAGGAGUGAAGUAAGCCUUAUGUAGUGUUUCAGUAUCUUACAAAGCCCAGCAUUUAUGUAAAACAUAAUUCUGCUCACCCCAAAAUAUGGAGAUAGAACUGCUGAAUAUUGGCGUAGUAUUAAGUAUAUGUUCUCGAGUAGGCAUAGAAGUUUGCCCACUUGAUUCCCAAGCAAAUCAACCUGUACAAAUGAAGAAAUCGCUGGUCUGUAGGGUAUAAAACAUUCAAAGCUCAUUGUAAUCUUGAGCUUUUUUUUUCGUAAAAUUCUAAUGAUAUAGGUUCCGUUUGAUAAAACUGAAUGUGAAUUUUGAAGUCUGAAUUCUGAAAUCUGAAUACUGAAACAAUUAAUUUGCUGAAUUUUAAGCACUGAAAAGAAAUAUAUGAAUAUCUGAAUUUUAAUGCUAAACCUAUUUAUACCGUUUGAUAAAUUUUUAUAACUGAAUGCUUAAUAAGUUUAAUUUGACAAUUUUACCCUUAUAUCUUUUCAUUCAAAAAAGAAAUAGAACCUAUGAUUUAAUUAGUUUAAAAUAAUUAGGUAUAAAAAUGACAAUAUUUAUUUUUAAAUCAAAUUAAUAUAAAAGAUGAAAUAUAUUAUAUGAGGAGUACGGAGAAAAUGUGAAAGUCAUUAAAAAAGGAGAAAAGAGAAACUGAAAACCAUUAGAUAGAAAAUAUCGAGUUGUUUAAUUAGAUAAGAAUUUUGAACAUAAUUAACAAAUAAGGGUAAAUUUGGUAGAUAGAUAAGAUAUUUGAAAUAAUUCUAUUGAUUCUUAUCAGAAUUAAGCAUUCAGUUAGGAUCAUUGUACUGAAAAAAAUACACACAAGUUCAGCACUGCUUAACAAGUUUGGUAGAUAGAUUUUCAUUUAUCAAACACUCGAAACAUCUGAAUGUCUGAAAAGGUUCAGUUUCAGCGUUUUUUAUGUUAUCAAACAGACCCAUAUUCGAUUAUAGAAAAAUAUAGUAAACAAGAAGUAAGUUCUGUUUCAAGAUAAUUGGCAGCUAGUUUUUGAAAAAUUCACUUGUGCUUUCAGCUACCUCAGUUUCAGCUAAUUGCAAAUUGUGGGAUCUAGUUAUGAAAGCCUUCUUGUAAAGCGACUUCUUUUUUCUUAUUGAGGUCGCAAGCUGAGCUAAUCCAUUUGUUUGAUGCUUCAGCGUCUCCACCCUGGAAACAGAUUUUUAAAGUCUCAUAAGCUUUCUUAUGAUCCCAAGAUACAAAUGCUUUCCAGCAAAAUAAUCAAUUUACCUAAAGACAAAAAUAUUUGCAGACUAGUAGUUUGCAGACACCAAAUAAAGAGAUUGAUCCUUCUUCCUUGGCUCAAAUGGAAGGGUGCAACAAUGUACAAGUUUUAGAAUUCUUUCUUGAGAUAAAUUAAUACGCUGUCUUGGUAUAAUUAUUUAUCACUGCAACCCAGGGGCCCUUAGAAUUCUAUAGUGGGGGCACUGGGACCUUUAAAUUUCUAUAGUAUUCAUAGAAUUUUAAUAUAAUUUCAAGUGUGUCCCCUAAAAUUUUGUGUAUCCAUUGGUUUAUAUGCUUCUAAUGUUGGCUUUAAUUUUGUCUGUUGCUACAACUACUGUAGAAAAGAUUUUUUCAGUUAUGAAUAUAGUGAAAAAUCGGCUACGAAAUAGAAUGGGAAACACUUGGAUUAAUGAUUGUUUAGUUCUUUACAUUGAGAAAAAUAUAUUUCGUAAAGUUCAAAAUGAGAAGGUUGUAAACCGUUAUCAAAAUAUGAAAACUCGUUGUGAAUAAUUGUAAAUGAUUUAGUUUUCUUUUUCAAAUAAAUAAUUAUUACAUUAAUAAUUUUGAGUUUGUUUUUUAUGUUUUUCAUGGAACAUAUACAUCAUUUGUACUUGUUCGUGAAAUUUUUUUUUUUUGCCUAAAAAACUAGGAAAAAAGUAGGUAAAAAAUUUUAGAAUGACUUUUGCCCCCACUAAGAAUUUUUUUUGGUUUCGCCGCUGGUGCAACCGCCCAAGUGCUAGCAAUAACUCUAUAUAGUAGAGUACUAGGAUACUGGUUGAAAAUUUUAAAGAUCUGAGUUAGAUACCUCAAACAAUACGAUUCUAACUUUCUGUGUAACAUUUGCUCAAAAUCCACUACUAGUCGCUGAAAUCCCACGACAGGGGAGAAAACAGAUUGAUUUUGUUGAAGCACUUCAUUUUCUUCAACUUCAUAGGCGUAUUGUCCUUUGGAGUCAACCACCUCUGUAGGAUAUAUCAAGGCAUGAUGAUCAUCUUCUUUUUGGUCUUUAGCUAUGGAGCCUGAACUAUUCUCCAUAUGUAGUACCGAUGCCUUGCUUUCAAGCAGUUUAUCUGAUGAUAUUUAUAAUAAUUCGCUCUUUGUACUGAAAGUUCUCUCAACAUCAUAUGACAGUAAUUCCAUACUGUAAUGCUCAGCCACCUCAACACAACGAUCUCUGAGUUCCUUUGUCUGAUUACUUGUGUUCACAAUUUCCUCUUAAUUGCAGUUCCUAAAAUAGGAGUCAGGCUUUUCAAUUAGGUUUUGCUCUUCAUACAUAUCCAAUUUUGUAGAAGGAAAAUCUUUAGAAAUUUGCAUCCGGUUCCAUGUUUUGGAUUGUCCAAUGGGUAACACAAAAUUCUUUCACCAAUUCAACCAAGACAAACUGAUAUAUCUCCUCUUUUACUAGUAUCUCAAUGUUAUAAGCAUCUCUUUCUGUUCUCAAUGUAUUGAAAAGCUCUCCAAAGUACACUAUAUAAAGUCCUCUUUUAAUAGGCUGCCUACAGUCUCUGGCACCAUGUCACUGCUGUGGAGGUUAUCAAUCAAGGUUUCAAAACCUUCAAUUUCUAUUUGAAGUUGCCUUAUAACCAAAUUGCCACUCUUCUCAAUACAUUGCAAUGUCUCACCAAAGACGACUUCCAUCAGCUCUUGCUUCAGAAGGUAAUCAUCAGCAUUUUGUUAAUGUUCGUAUCCAAUUCAAUAACUGUUUCCUGAAAGUAGACUGAAUAUACAUUCUCCCUAAUAGAGCUUUCCGGGUAAUGCUGCAAAAUUUCGCAUGCAGUUUCUUCUUCAGAUUCGCCUACCUUCUGAAUUUGAAGAUCGUUUAUUUUGACUCCAUGAUCAUCUUCGGAAUCAUUCAAAGACAGAUUAUGACUACCACCUCUAAUGAGGCUCUUGUUGUUUUCAUUCAAGAGAGCAAGGUCUAAGUUUUUUGCAAAACAUACAAGAAUUAAUAAGUAGAUUUCGUCAAUGAUGAAGCUCUGCAAUUUCAGAUCAUCCCUUUCUUGCUCGAGUUUCCUUAUUUUAUUACUCAAGUCUACCCCACUUUCUGCAUUUAUGUUCUCAUUAGCUGUUCUAUCAAUCUUUGUCAAACUUGCCUCCAAAACUGUUGUCUUAUCACAAAAUCCUUUAUUAUAUCCUAGAUAACCGUCCCACAUCAUAAGAUUGUCCAGUCUCUCAAUAACUUUCCGUAUUCUACUUUCCAGUUCAUCAGGAUCCUUGUCUCUCUUAAUAGAUGAGGUCCCCUUCCUUCGAAGAACUUCUCUUGCUAGCCAAUUCCACUCUUCACAUUCACGCUGUUUCUGAAUAAAGGACUCAUGAUUCUUUACCAUCUUUGAAACUGUUAGGAGAAUAUCAGUAGUCUUGUAGAUAAUAAGUUAGUAAGGGUAUUCUUGUAAAUAGUUGGUUAGGUUUGUACUCCUAUAAAUACUAGUUGGUCACUCAUAAUACGGUGACUAGAUGUUUUCCUCCCAAGAUACCUGUUAACAUGGUAUCAGAGCAAGAGUCCUAAGGUUCAGGUUAAACAUCUAGCAAAAGUAUUGUUCACGCCGCACUGUUCAUCGCGGCACUGUUCACGGCGCACUGUUCACGCGUACUGUUCGUCUCGAGUUUUGACCCUUUCUUGGGUUUGAAGUGCUAUUCGCUAUGGCUGAAAGUUUAUCAAAAGGUAUUGUGACGUCCACUAAUAUUAUGCCAAUGGUGAUGCCUCAAAUCACAAAUUGGAAGCUGAAUGAUACCAAUUAUCAACAGUGGUCAAAAGCUGUUAAGAUUUAUCUGACAGGCUUAGGAAAGCAACGUUAUCUCACAGAUGACUCUCCUACGGAGGGCAGCAAGAAACUAAUGUGGAUUCAAGAGGAUGCUUAAAUUCUUGGAGCAAUAUGGAAUUCUAUAGAGCCACGAAUUGCUUACAUGCGUUCUCCUUGUGAGACAACAAAAGAAGUUUGGGAUUAUGCCCGAUUAUUAUAUUGCAGUAAUCUCUCACGGAUGUAUGAUAUUUCUUUGGAGUAUUUUCAGUUGCAACAAGAUAACAAGACAGUAACUGAAUACUUUGCUGAUCUUAAGCGAGUCUCAGAGGAAUUAAAUGUUGUAAUGCCUUUCUCAAGUGAUAUCACGGUUAUGCAGAGGCAAAGAGAACAAAUGCUUGUGCUCAAAUUCCUGGCUGGUCUCAAGCCAGAAUUUGAACCAAUCAAAUCUCAAAAUUUAGCAGGUGAACAAUUACCAUCCUUUGCAGAGGCGUAUGCUUGGGUCUUACGUUCUGCAUCUAAGGACAAUGCACAGGGUGAUGGUGCUCUAAUUAUUGACAAAUCUGCUUUAAUUGCUAAUAACAAUCGGACAGAGCAAUUUAAUUUUGGACGUGGCUCUCGUGGAGGAAGAAGUAGAGGAGGUCAUGGGGGUCGUGGAGGUCGAGGCACCCGUGAGUGCAAUCAUUGUGGUUUAAAGAAUCACACUCGUGAUACUUGUUGGGAUUUAAAUGGAAAAUCACCUCGGUUUGUUAAUACGGUUACCACUGACCAAGCUGAAUCAAGUUCUUUAGCACAAGGGUCUCAGAAGACUGUUACCAUAUCUGAGAAAGAUUAUAUCAAAUUUCUGCAGUACCAAACUGUAAAUCACGCAUCUCUUCCCUCUACUUCUGUAGCACAAAAAGGUAAUGCUAUGGCUUGUCUCUCCACAUAAUCUAAUUUUGACUCAUGGAUCAUUGAUUCCGGAGCUACUGAUCAUAUGUCAGGUACCUCUAGAAAUUUUUCUAAUUUUCAAGAGUCUACUUCCUUCCCUCAUGUUACUUUAGCUGAUGGAUCUACAACUAAAGUUAAAGGACUAGGCACUGUAGAAAUUAACUCAUCUCUUCUGCUGCCUUCUGUUCUUUACGUUCCCAAUUUACCUUUUAAUCUAAUGUCCGUUAGUAAGUUUACUAAAUCUCUAUAGUGUUCAGUUAUUUUUUCUCCUGAUUUUGUUGUUAUUCAGGAUUUGAAGACAAAGAGGACGAUUGGUGGAGGACAUGAGCAUAAUGGUCUUUACUUUCUCAACUCUAAUGGUCCGAUUGCGUGCCCUGCUACUGUUUCUCUUCUUGAAAUUUACUGUCGUUUGGGUCAUCCGUCUCUACAAAAUUUGAAGAAGUUGGUCCCUACUUUGAGUCAGUUGUCUUCAUUAGAAUGUGAGUCUUGUCAAUUAGGAAAGCAUCAUCGUGUUUCUUUUGCUCCUAGGGUCAAUAAACGGGUUUCGAAACCCUUUUUGUUAGUUCAUUCUGAUGUUUGGGGUCCUAGUCGAGUAACUUCAAAGUUAGGUUUUAAAUAUUUUGUAAUCUUUGUUGAUGAUUUUUCCAGAAUUACAUGGCUUUAUUUAAUGAAAAAUCGUUCAGAACUAUAUUCCAUUUUUUGUGCAUUUGUUACAGAAAUAAAGACUCAAUUUGGUGUGCAUGUACGUAUACUUCGCAGUGAUAAUGCGAAAGAAUAUUUUUUCACUCCUUUUGAUACCUUUAUGACUAAGUCCGGUAUUUUUCAUCAGUCCUCUUGUUCUCACACUCCACAACAGAAUGGAGUUGCUGAAAGAAAAAUUGAUGCCUUUUGAUGCAGUUUUAACUGCAUGUUAUUUAAUUAAUCGCAUGCCAUCCAAUAUUUUUGGAGGCCAACUACCUCACUCUAUUCUUUUUCCUCAGGAUCCUAUAUUUAAAUUACCUCCUCGUAUUUUUGGUUGUGUGUGUUUUGUUCAUCAGCUUGCUCUCGGGGUGGAUAAAUUAGAUUCUCGUGCCAUUAAGUGUAUUUUUCUUAGGAUACGCACGAGCGUAAAAGGGGUAUAGAUGUUACAAUCCAGUUUUAAAUCAUUUUUUCACUUGUGCUGAUGUUAUUUUCUUUGAAUCCACUCCUUAUUUUAUGAAGCAAGGUAUGUCUUGUGAGUUAGACCAGUGUUCCUCUUUUCCUCCUCCUGUUUUACCAGUCCCUUCAUCUUUAUUACCUGAGUUAUUUGGUUCACCAGAUUUCACCACUCGAUUAUCUCGUCAUCAUCCUCAAGUUUAUUCUCGUCGUUCCAUGGUUGAGAAAGUUCCUGAUAUGCUACGCACUUCACCAAUUAACUCUCAAUCUUCAUAUCCAGGUAUGACGCCCUCCUGUGAGUUAGAUCUUCCUAUUGCUUUACGUAAAGGUAAGAGACAUUGUACUUCUCAUCUUAUUUCUAAUUUUGUCUCUUAUUCUCGUAUCUCUCUGUUAUAUUCUUCUUUUGUUGCAUCUCUUGAUUCGGUAUCCAUUCCUAAGUCUAUUACCCAUGCUCUCAAUGAUCCUGGUUGGAGGUUUGCUAUGCAAGAAGAGAUGCUUGCUUUGGAGAAAAAUGGUACUUGGGAUCUUGUCCAUCUUCCGUCGGUAAGCCGGUUGUUGGUUGUAAAUGGGUGUACACUAUAAAAGUACAACCUAAUGGUUCUAUUGAUAGAUUGAAGGCUCGUCUGGUAGCUAAAGGAUUUGCUCAGGUGUAUGGAAUCGAUUACUUUGAAACAUAUUCUCCUGUUGCAAAGAUUAUCUCUGUUCGUCUUCUUAUCUCUUUGGCAGCAACAUAUAAUUGGCCAUUGCAUCAGUUGGAUGUGAAAAAUGCAUUUCUGCAUGGAGAUUUGGAAGAAGAGGUAUAUAUGGAACAACCUCCUGGAUUUGUUGUUCAGGGGGAGAAUCCGCGGUUGGUUUGUCAUUUGAAAAAGUCCUUAUAUGGAUUGAAGCAAUCUCCAAGGGCUUGGUUUGGCCGGUUUAGUAGUGUUCUCAUGGAGUUCGGUCUGACAAGAUGUGGAGUAGAUCACUCUGUAUUUUAUCGACAUUCUAAUGCUGGUAAAAUUUUAUUAGUUGUUUAUGUGGAUAAUAUUGUGAUUACAGGUGAUGAUGUUGUGGGGAUCCAGAAACUUAAAUCCAAUCUGCAGGCAAACUUUCAGAUAAAGGAUUUAGGUCAUCUACAGUAUUUUCUGGGUAUUGAGGUAGCUCGGUCUAAAUAUGAGAUUUAUUUAUGUCAAAGGAAAUAUGUACUCGAUAUGUUGAGUGAAGUUGGGAUGUUAGAUUGUCGACCUGUGGAUACUCCUAUAGAUCCCAAUGUGAAAUUAGCAAGAGAUCAAGGUGCAUUACUUGAUGAUCCUAAGCAAUAUCGAAAACUUGUGGGUAAAUUAAAUUAUCUCACUGUAACGAGACCUGACAUUUCGUUUGCAGUGAGUGUUGUGAGUCAAUUUCUUGAUACCCAUCGUACUAGUCAUUGGGAUGCUGUUGUACGGAUUUUCAGGUAUCUUAAGAGUGCUCCUGGAAAAGGGUUACUGUAUCAAAAUCAUGGACACACUGAUAUUGAAGGAUAUAGUGAUGCAGAUUGGGCUGGUUCUGCCUCAGAUCGAAGAUCGACCACAGGAUAUUGUGUGUUUGUUGGUGGUAAUUUAGUGUCGUGGAAGAGUAAGAAGCAAACAGUUGUAUCCAGAUCAAGUGCAGAAUCUGAAUACCGCGCUAUGGCUCACACUGUGUGUGAGUUGGUUUGGUUGAAAAGCAUGUUACUUGAACUUGGGUUUGAGCAUAAACAGCCUAUGAAUUUAGUGUGUGAUAAUUAGGCGGCUGUCCAUAUUGCGUCUAACCCAAUGUUUCAUGAAAGGACAAAACAUAUUGAAGUUGAUUGUCACUUCAUUCGAGAGAAAUUGCUUGACGGAGUCAUCAAGACAUCUCAUGUACCAUCUGUAGAUCAAUUGGCUGAUUUGUUUACCAAGAGUUUAGGGGGUUCUAGGGUAAAAUACAUUUGUGACAAGUUGGAUGCUUAUGAUAUAUAUGCUCCAACUUGAAGGGGAGUGUUAGGAGAAUAUCAGUAGUCUUGUAGAUAAUAAGUUAGUAAGGGUAUUCUUGUAAAUAGUUGGUUAUGUUUGUACUCCUAUAAAUACUAGUUGGUCACUCAUAAUACGGUGACUAGAUGUUUUCCUCCCAAGAUACCUGUUAACAGAAACAUAGUGGCUUCCUCCUUGAUCUGAAUCCUUCUCAGGAACCUUACACAAAACUUCUGGUAAAGGCUUACUGGUUGUUCGCUUGAUUGAUGAUGGGAAACGGGAAAGCUCAUGCAUUUCUAAUCUUUUCUCCUCUAUCUUACCCUGGCUGCACAAGGCACUUAGUUCAUCGUGCAAGGCUCUUGCAUCAUUGAUCAAUUCUAUCCAUUUCUCCCUGCUGAAGCCAACAGGAAAAGACUAGCCUCUCUUCUCAAAUCCUAUUUUAAAAUUUUGUUGAAUGCCAUUUAUGAAGCCCUUAACUGAAAUCACAAUUACAUCUUUCUCAAUGCUUCACGUCCACUGCUUCUCUAAUGGAAACACCUCAGCACUUUGCAACAUCUUAAAGGCGAGAUCUAAUGUUCCUUUUAGAAUAUCUAUGUCAAAACUCAUCUGCUAAAUCAUCACAUUGUUCUUUCUAGGGUUUAUUGAAUUUUUCAGCAACUUGUGUUAGGUUCAUAAUUAAAGGAUUAUGAAUCAUAUUGAUCCAAAAGAUAGAGAUAGAGCAGUUAACAUGUAAGUAAUGAUCUGAAACCUAAUAAUUUAAACUUUUGGAUCAGAGUUGGGUUUCUGACUUAUAUAUUGGACUCUUUGGUGGAUUCUUUCGAGGCGUUUUUCUCCAUCAAAUUGAUAUUAGAGUUUCAAAUGGAGUUACGCAUGAAUGCAAGAUUUGUUAGGUUUAUGAGUAAAAGAUAAUGUCCUACAUUGGUCCAAAAGAGAAAGGUAGAUCGGUUAAUAUGUAAGUAAGGAUUUAAAACCUAAUAAUUUAAAUUUUUGGGUCAUGGUUGAGUUCCGAACUUAUAUAUUGAAUUCUUUGGUGGAUUCUUUCGAGAUGUUUCUCCCCAUAAACUUGAAUCUUGAAACAUGGUCGUGCACAAAACCUUGUCUUCUAUCCAUCCAGAACCUGUAUAUGUAUCCUCGUCGAAGAGUUUGGAAUAAAGUUCACUAUCGAAAGACCUGGAACUUCUACCUCUAAUCCUUCUUGUCAAAAUUUGGUGCUCAUCCUCCAAUUUUUGCUUGAUAUUUAAAACUUGCUGAUCCACGGAACUCUUCAAUUCACGAAUAUCACCACCUUGGGCUCGGUCAUCCUCAAUAUCUUCACUGCUUGGAAUAUAAUCCGGGAGGUCUGCACCUGUGUUUUUAAACUCGGACCGGACCGGCCGGUCUGACCGAUCGAACCUAGAACCGGCCAGGCAUCUGGUCCGAGUUGUUCUUCAAAAUCGGAAGACUAAAAAUCCAGUCAAAAACCAGGUUUGGCCAGGAAAAAAUUGGAAAACCGGUUCAACCAGAGCAAUUUUUAAAAAAAGAUCAAACUUUUUCAAUAUUAUGUUUUGACCUCUAAAUUGUUAAAACUUGUUAAUAUAUCUCAAAUAUUUCAUACUUUAUAAAUGUUGUCCUAAAAUUUGAUGUUAUUUUUCAAUCAAAUCCAUAAUUUUAAUUCUAAACUUGUUAAUGUUCAUUAAAUAAUAUAAAUUACUACUUGAUCACUCUAAUUUCUUUGUAUUUUCUUGUUAAAUAUAUUUAAAACAUCAAAUAUAUAUAAAUAUAUUUUUAUUAAUAUUAACAUACUUUUAGAUAUUUUAUAUACAAUAUAAAAUUAUGAGCUCGACCCGAUUAAACUCGGUCGAACCCAUUGACCCCUGAGCUCGACCGACUCUAUACCCGGUCCGAGUCUGAAAACAUAGGUCUGCACCCUUUGUUCUCUCAGUCUCUAGUUUCUCCCGUAAAUAAGCCAAGUCUCUUGCAUUUAACUCCGCUGCACGCCGAAGCUUCAACUCAUUCUCUACCCUCUCCAUUAGUUCCUUGUCUUUCUCAAUUAUCAAAAUCCUCAUUUCUGCAAUGCAUCUCUGCAGCCAGUGUUUGAUUUCUGUAAAGUUAGAGAGCAUUUUCUUGCGGUUUGUUUCUUGAAUAUCUUCCUCUUCUUCAACAAUGUUGAGACUACCAUCCACUAGAAUUGCUGCCAAUUCAUAAAAUUUUGAUCUUUGAAGAAAUUCAAUAGGUCCAAUUUGAGAUUGAACUUUUUCAUGUGCUUCAUCCAUAGCAGAUCUCAAAAGCCUCAUCACUAUUGAGUUUGACUUCGAACUGCAAUUGAUUUCUUCAAAGAGGACAUCCAUUCUUAAAAUUAGAAAAAGGGACCGGAAUAAUUCUUGAGCAAGUUCACAACUACAUUAAUUAUUUCAUUAGCACGGUAUAUAACAUAUAGUAUAUGUUAAAAUUGAAUAGUACAAGGACAAUUAAAUAGGUCUCCAAAAGAAGAAACAAAUCUUGUAGUAUCACUUCGUGGGCUAAGAAACUUAGAGUGAGGAAGAGAAGAGUGUUUAACUUGGUUAGUCUCCUAAAAAGAUGGAGAUUGAGGAGGACCUGUUCUUGCCUGUUACAAGGGCCAAGGGACUGAGCCACUUCACAUUUUUUGGAGGAUGACAUGUACUACUCCACACGAUUUGGCAUUAUCCCCUUCGGUCUCUUCUGUUUUAUGUCUAAAAAAUCCAAGAAGUCAUAGAAAAAAUAAGAAGAAGAAGAAGAAGAGGGAUAUUAUUAUUAAUACAUUUUCUGGGAAACUAGUUCGAGCUUACCAAAUUGCCUAUAGUGUUCAUUGUGCUAACUCUAGGUUCAGGUUCCUACUCCAACAUUUGGGGUGUUUGAGGGCUCAUACACAUUCACUUGUUAUGGUAUUUUAAAGAUAAUGAGAUAAAUCUCUAAUACUAGUAAAAAUAACUUCAAUGCAUACUAUCACCAUAAAAAAAUUGUAGGAAAACCAUCUUUUCUUUCUUAUCCCAUUAGAAUCAAUGGCUACCAAUGGUUUAUUAUGGUUUGGCUUCAGCUCAACUUUUCCUUUUUCUUCCCUAUUUUUCUUUUGGAUGAAGAAAAUAAAAUCUUUCCAAUGUUUUUUUUGGCAUAUUGAGCAUAUUUAUUAAACUUUGCAUGGCAAGGAACACUGCAAAAGGACUGAGCGGAUGAUUCAUUGGUUCAAUAGGCAAGUUGGUGGUUAAACCAAUGGAUCGCUAAAACAAUAUUUAUAAAUACUUGUAAUAUAUUAGUUAGCUUAAUAUAUGUAGAACUUAUAAAUAAACUAGUUUUAAAUAUUACUAAUUAUUACAUCUAGAAAGAUAUAUUAGAAAUAUAUAAACAUUAAUAAAUGGCUCAAUUUUCUUAUAUCAUCCUUUACAAACAUAAAACAUGUAUUCAAAAAAAUUAUUUUAUUUUGUAAAACAACAAACUUUGAAUGAAAUAGAAUUAAAAAAAUUUUAAUACUUUACCUAAAAAAUUAUUUCUUUAAUUAUCAACCAUUUUUACAUAAUAAUACGAACACUUUUAGUAUGAAAGUUGGAUUCGUUAUACAAUAAAAAAGUAAAUAAAUACAUCUGAACGAACGUUUCGUCAACAAGGAUGAGAUUCAAGGAUCAAACUUUUACAUUUGGCCCAAAAAUGAAAAAAAAAAUCAACCAAUUAUUGAGAAUCCAUUUGGAUUCCUCGGUGAACUACUGAAUCAAGUGGAUUGCACCAGAUUUGACUGGUUUGGCUUCUUAUCCAAUGAAAUUAGUAACCCGAUCUGGCCUGGUGAUUGGUUCAUCGGGUUGAGUGAUUAACCGGACGAGUUUAAUAAUUAUAUUUGAAUUUUAUUUGUAAAUAAUUAUUUGCUUGUGCCACAAAUACGCUUUACAAGAAUUCUUUUAUCUUUUCAAUCACAUAUUUUUUCAGAUGUAUCGCAUCAUAGAAAGUACUAUACCAAUUAUUUCAAAUAAUCUACUAUGUACCAAGGUUGUGAGGUCAGUUUCCUAAUACACUAGGAAUGGAAAAUCAAAUCACUCCUAUUUUGACAUACUUGAAAUGGUUGAAUAUCAACUAUUCACCAUAAUAUAGAUUUGAGAGUUUGGAUUUGAGAGUUUUUGAAAUACUUGUUUUUCAUCUACAAAUCUACAAUAGUACACUCCAAAAAUACCACUAAAAAACACUCCUUAUAUUUCAAAUACAACUUAAAAAAUAAAAAUAAAUCUAAUCACCUUUUCUUCUUCCUCUAAUCACCAUCACCCACCACCCACCACCACCAUCUACCACUUCCUCCUUUCUCCACCGUCACUAUUACCUCCACCGUUGCUCCUCCCCCUCCCUUUUCCCCCCUCAUUCCUCCUCUUCCUUCCUCCUUCCUCUCCUCUCCUCCCCCAAGAACCAGCAGUAGCUCCAGCCAGUGACGGAGCCAGGAUUUUUUUUGGGGGGGGCCAAAAUUUUUUCCUAAUCAAAUUAUCUUAAUAUAUUAUGUUCAAAAUAAUUUUCUUCUAUUUAAAUAUAUGACAUCUAAAAAUAUCAAAUAUUAAAUUAAAUUAUAAAGGUAUGUCUAUUCAUAAAUAUGCGGUACAGUCAUAACAAAAAUUAACAAAAAAGAUAACAUUUGAUUAAAUAUCUUAUAACAUCACAAACCAUCCAAUUUGCACAUUAUGAGAAGAUGCUCUCCAACAUGUCACCUAUGCAAUAUAUAUAUAUAUAUAUAUAUAUAUAUAUAUAUAUAACCAUGUAAUAUAAAUGUAACUAUUUUCAAUUGAAAAAAGAUAAAAGUUAUGUUAACAUACUUUGAAAUUUCAACAUCUUUUUUUUGAAGUAAAUUGAGCUCUACGCUCUUUCAUAGAACUAAAUUCAUUUAUGAUUGACUCACUGCUAAAAUUUUCAGCAACUUCCUUUUCUAUAUACACAGUUAGACAAAUCAUUCAAGAAAUUAUCUUCCAUCUUGUUUUGGAGCUUUGUCUUGAUUAUUUUCAUAAUUGAAAAUACCCACUCUGUAGUUGCAGUUAAUACAGGAAGAGUAAGAACAAAUCUAAUCAAUCUAUCAAUAAGAGAAUAUAUCACUAGGGAUGGCAAUGGGGCGGGUGACCGGCGGGCACCCGUCCCCAACCCCCGCCCCGUCACUCGUUUGAAACAAAAAAAAAAUAUAUAUAUACAUAAUUAUAUAUAUAAUGAUAUUAUCUUUUUUUUUACUUCAACGUUUUUAGAUAUACUUUGCUCAACUCUCUCUGAUCAACUUUGCUUGAGUCCAGCUUUGAACAACAAAAUGGGUCAAAGAUGUGGCUAAUUAAUUAAGGAACCUGUAAACACGAGAGCCGUCCUCUACUCAAGUCAGAACAGCUCUCUUUUUUAUUAGACAAUACAUUAUAAAACACAUCUUCAAAAUAUUUAAGCACAAAGCGCCCGUUGUAUACUAAAGCACUAGUUUUAGGCUGAAAGCUCAAACUUCAGAAUAAUAAGCUACAUCCAAAGGAAUUUAUUAGAGAGCCUUGAGGAUUUCAUCAGCACCAGAGACGGUGAAAUCAGCACCAAAUAUGUUUAUUAAUAUAUUUAUAUUAAAUUCGUAACUAUAUAUAGGGGGUUUUCCGGCGGCUUGGGGGGGGCUUAAGCCCCCACCAGCCCCCCCUUAAAUCCGUGGCUGGCUCCAGCUGCGACCUUUUGGUCACACUAGUCACAACCUUCUGACCGCAACUUGAUCCGGAGGAAGGUCGAGUCAGCAAUUUCAGGGUGGACCUACGGGGGAGUGGAAGAGAAGUAGGGAAGAAGGAGAAAGAGAGGGAGAAGGAGGGGGAGAAUGGAAGGGGGAGGGGAUGAAGGAGAAAGAAAGGGAAAAGGAAGGAGGGAGGCCCUGGUGGAGAUGAGGGAUGGUGGUGAGUGGUGUAAAUUUUUAAAAAAAUAUCCAAACAUGUUUUAAGUUAUAAACAUACCCUAAAAUACAUCCCAAAUAUCCCCAAAAAUACCUCAAAAAAUACCACCAAAAAUAGGGGAGGGGAUGAGGGAUGAGGGGGAGGAGGGACGGGGAGGGAGUUGUGGUAAGAUUUUAUGCAAUUUUAAAAAUACCUCAUUAAAAUUUUAAAUCUUAAAAAUAGCCAAAAUAUAUUUUCAAAAGCACCCCAAAAACACCAUUAAAAACAUCUACAGUAAAAGUUUUUCACAUAUAUUGCUACAGUAAAAUAUUUCAAAAAUACCCCCAAAAACAGCUAAUCCAAACGGAGCCAGAAUUUUUUAGAUUGCAGCAAGCUUUUUGUGUUGGCAUGAAAAGGUGUUAUUAAUGGCCCAGAUUAAUGGAAUUUGAGGGUGGGAUGGUACAGCAACAUGUAAAUCAACUCGAAAACAAUACAAAUUAGUAGCACAUUUUUUGGGCAAAAUGUCCCAGCAGCCCUAAAACUAUUAUAAAAUUUAAUUUUUGACCUUCUAAUUAUUAAUUGAUAAGUUUUAGCCCUCCAAUUGAUUAAAACAUAUAAUUCUAACCUUUCUGUCAACCUAAGCCAUUAUGUUUAACAAAAAUAGCAGGACAUGCGCAGCAAUAGCCCUCAAACUAUUAUAAAAUUUAACUUUUGACCCUCCAAUUAUUAACUGAUCAAUUUUACGCCUCCAACUAAUUAAAACAUAUAAUUUUAACCCUUCCAUCAAUUUGAAUCGUUAUAUCAAGCACAAACAUCACCACAUGCAUGGUAAGGCAAUAAUUGAGGGAUGUUUUCGUUUUCACAGGACAUGUACUAGGGUAAAAUUAUUUUACCCCAUUUGACUGAUAAAUUAAUUUACCAAAUCUCCAAUUGCUGAACAUGACCAAAAUCAAUUGAAAAUCUAAAACCCAAAACCCUAAAUAGAGAAAUUUUAUUAAGGAUAGGCAACUUGAAUUAAUUGAGUUGAUAGGGAAAUUAACUCAUUUUUUGGUAUUGUUCCAAAUUCAUUGGAUUCACUUGCUUCUCUUAAUGACAUAAAUAUGGCACACAAUUCAUUUUCUAGGAAUAUUCCAUCAAGUCUUGGUUCACUUCCAAGUUUGAACUUUUUAAAUCUCUCAAAUAAUCAAUUCUCUAGUAAAAUUCCUCCAAACUUUACAUCACUAUAUCUAAACUUUCUUAAUUUAUCAAACACUCGGUUAGACACAUCCCAAAUUCUUUAUUAAUAGAUAUUUCUAUUCAACAUAACAACUCAAGUUGACGGAAAAGAGUAGAAUUAUACGUUUUAAUUAGUUGGAGAGUUAGAACUUAUCCAUUAAUAAUUGUAGGGUCAAAAGUUGAGUUUUAUAAUAGUUUGAGAGCCAUUAGCAUCUCAUGAAUCCUUUUUCUCUGUUAAACAUAACCACUCAACAUAGCCACUCAAGUUGACGGAAGGAUUAUAAUUAUAUAUUUUAAUUAGUUUGAGAACUAAAACUUAUUAGUUAAUAAUUUGAGGGUUAAAAGUUGAAUUUCAUAAUAAUUUGAGGGUCACCGGCCAUUUUGCCCUUAUUUUUAAUAUGCACGGCAUAUAUUAAAAUCAAUAUGUAUCUUGUAAACUAAAUCAUACAUUUUUUUUGUCCGUCAAUCAAGACCGUGAACCUUUCACGAACCGUCGCUAUUGUCCAAAUUCAGAUUAAGGGCCACAUUGGCUGGGCUGUUACGUGCGACUGCACAUUGCCCUCAUCGUCACUCAACCCCACAAUCCCCUCUUGUCAAAAUCCAAACACUAAAUAGCCUCAAUUUUUAGACGCACGAAAACUUUGCAAUUGCAGAUGUGAGAUAAUGCAGUGGUUAGCAGCCACCUGCAUUCAAUCAAUAAUGCGUACCCACACGUUACAUCCAGUACCACCCACCUACUGGGUUUUCUACGGCUUUAUUAUUAUUUACUCUAACCACCAUUCUCCGGCGGCAUUCUGCCCUCUCAUUUCUCGUCAUCUAACUAGGAAUAGGAUGAAGAGGCGGCGCGUUCAGCUCUAGUCCGAAGCCACUCCACAAUGUCUCCAAACACGCGCUCCACAUCCUCAUCAGACUCACCAACCAGCUGGUGCCACAUGCCAGGAUAUAUGUGGAUGGUCUUAUCCUUACUAGCGGCGCGUCUGUACAAAUCCUCCGCACACGCCGGGUCGCAUAUUACGUCAUCACCGCCGUGCACUAUCAGAAGUGGCACCGUCACCUCCCCAAACCUGUCUUGCAAUUCCCCGCUCAACCUCAGCAGUUCCUGCGCAGUGGCAGCGCGCGGCCUAGCCAAUGGCCUUCUUGGGCUUGCCAUUGCUAACUUCCUCUUCCACUCCACCUUUGAUAAACCAAAAUGAACAAGAAAUACGUGAUGAAAACUUCGAUUACUUGAAAAAUUUGAUGCCAAAUCGGCAUUUUCAAUGAAACCCAUUUCUUUUUCAUAUAGCUCGUAUGAUCAUAUGAACCAAUCAGAGCAUGCCGAACAAGAUUUGUUGCUUGUUAUUAACUUCAUAAAAAGGGUACUAAAUAAGUGUAAAGUUUCAAAUUUACCUACAAACGAAUGAAGCCACUCAAUUGGGAAAUGAAUGAAGCUACUCAAUUGGGCGUGUUCGACUUGUUAAGACUCGUUGGAACGACAAUUAAGUCAGACUCCAAUACGCUUAAAAACUAUUAACAGAAUCAAAUCAGGCUUUAACGUUGUAGUUUAGAGUUGUUUAUAACCUAAUUAUGCAGGUCUAAUUCAUAAAAUAUCACUUUGUAUUCGUAAUAGCGUACGCCUAUUUUCUUGCACUGAAAUGAUCAAUGUACCUAAUCACCAAAAGGAACACAAUAUCAUGCGAAAAACUAACAAUUACUCCGAUGAGGUAAAAGAGAAAUAGUUGCCAGAAAAGAAUUGCUGAAAAGGCAUCAAAAUUACUAGGGAGUAGUAAAACAGUUGCUCUAAAAGUUUUCACGUAAGAAUCUGACCUUGAAGGAGACCUCAGGAAUCCUCCCGCGAGUGGGGAUCACUUGCCAAGUGGGAACCACAGCGGCAACGAUGGAAAGAAAAUGCUCCAGCGGCCACGGCGGCUUAAACUUGUCGCUGACGCCACACAUAGCUCCAUUUAAAACGACGCCGUCGUACGGCCGUUUCAAGUCCUUGCGGAGGGUAAUCAAGAGCGCAAUCGCCCCACCAAGCGACUCCGAGUACAGAAACGCCGGCAAAUUGGGAGGCGCGUGGCGUUCACGGAAGUCAUCAAAGAAGGCUACGCAGUCGUCGACGACGGGAUUGAUGUCGGGAAUGUGAGCCUGGAGACCCUCCGAGAACCCGUGGCCCUGGUGGUCGAUAGCGCAGACCGCGAAUCCCUUUUUGGCGAGAUGGACGGAGGUGAGCUGCACGAACCAACUGGACUCGCCGGUGAAGCCAUGGACGACGCAGAUGACGCCGAUCAGGGGCUUGCCAGAAUCGGGAAGUGGGAUCCACCAUUGAGUAAAUAGUUUAAGGCCACGAGGAUUCGUGAUGAACUCGGUGCCAUGAGUGACCUUAUGGCGAGCGUAGAAUUCCUCCGGAGUCAACGACCCAAAUGGGCUCUUCUCGUUAGCUUCCGCAACUGGGUGCAAGGACAUUAUCUUAGUUUCUUGCUUUCUUUUGAUGAUUAUUUUGUAGGGGAC
rnacentral:lncRNA from 1 species